CAGUGCAGAAAAGAGAGGACCAAGGAAAUUGACUGCUAGGAAGAAGGAAGAACAGUUGUCAAGAAGGAAAGCUGCUGAGCUUGGACAGCACCUGCUAAUUGGCCAUAUAACAAGUUGGAAGGUUUAUACAGCAGUCAGAAGGCCCUCUCUUUCAAACAUCACGUUGACCCCUGAUGCCUGGUGUACCAAGCUGGGUGCCUCACCAGAGGAUGAUUCCUUCAGAAAUCUGAUGCUUCUGGAAAAACAAGACUGAGGGUCAAGACAAAGGUAAUUUCUGCUUUUAUGAAUCACAAACUCCUCCAAGGCAAGGAACUGAACAAAAAGUCCCGUCUAUCUGCUUGGAAGAAAGAUGAGAUGGAAGCACAGAAGUGCAUACGUGGCCAUUGAGCAGCAGCUAAAUCAAAGUAAAGAAAUUGCCACAAUUGGGAUAUACUCAGAAUUUAAAAC